AACGAACGCUGGCGGCAUGCCUAACACAUGCAAGUCGAACGAGACCUUCGGGUCUAGUGGCGCACGGGUGCGUAACGCGUGGGAACCUGCCCUUAGGUUCGAAAUAACUCCCCGAAAGGGGUGCUAAUACCGGAUAAUGUCUUCGGACCAAAGAUUUAUCGCCUUUGGAUGGGCCCGCGUUGGAUUAGCUAGUUGGUAGGGUAAAAGCCUACCAAGGCGACGAUCCAUAGCUGGUCUGAGAGGAUGAUCAGCCACACUGGGACUGAGACACGGCCCAGACUCCUACGGGAGGCAGCAGUGGGGAAUAUUGGAAAAUGGGCGAAAGCCUGAUCCAGCAAUGCCGCGUGAGUGAUGAAGGCCUUAGGGUUGUAAAGCUCUUUUACCCGGGAUGAUAAUGACAGUACCGGGAGAAUAAGCUCCGGCUAACUCCGUG
rnacentral:rRNA from 1 species